rnacentral:rRNA from 1 species
ACGAACGCUGGCGGCGUGCUUAACCCAUGCCAGUCGCACGCUGAAGCUCAGCUUUUGUUGGGUGGAUGAGUGGCGAACGGGUGAGUAACACGUGAGUAACCUGCCCCCUUCUUUGGGAUAACGCCCGGAAACGGGUGCUAAUACUGGAUAUUCACUGGUCUUCGCAUGGGGGUUGGUGGAAAGGGUUUUUCUGGUGGGGGAUGGGCUCGCGGCCUAUCAGCUUGUUGGUGGGGUGAUGGCCUACCAAGGCUUUGACGGGUAGCCGGCCUGAGAGGGUGACCGGUCACAUUGGGACUGAGAUACGGCCCAGACUCCUACGGGAGGCAGCAGUGGGGAAUAUUGCACAAUGGGCGCAAGCCUGAUGCAGCGACGCCGCGUGAGGGAUGGAGGCCUUCGGGUUGUGAACCUCUUUCGCUCAUGGUCAAGCCGCAACAAUGGUUGUGGUGAGGGUAGUGGGUAAAGAAGCGCCGGCUAACUACGUG